CAGUAGCCGCGGUAAUACGUAGGGUCCGAGCGUUGUCCGGAUUUACUGGGCGUAAAGCGUGCGUAGGCGGCUUCUUAAGUCGGAUGUGAAAUCCCUGAGCUUAACUUAGGAAUUGCAUUCGAUACUGGGAAGCUAGAGUAUGGGAGAGGAUGGUAGAAUUCCAGGUGUAGCGGUGAAAUGCGUAGAGAUCUGGAGGAAUACCGAUGGCGAAGGCAGCCAUCUGGCCUAAUACUGACGCUGAGGUACGAAAGCAUGGGGAGCAAACAGGAUUAGAUACCCGUGUAGUCCCUGUCUCUUAUAC
rnacentral:rRNA from 1 species